rnacentral:tRNA from 1 species
GCCUCGGUGGUGAAAUCGGUAGACACAAGGGACUUAAAAUCCCUCGGCUUUACCGCCGUGCCGGUUCGAGUCCGGCCCGAGGCACCA